ensembl:lncRNA
CGAAAUUGUGGAGAAAAAGUGACCAAAAAAGAAUGCCCCGUGCAACAAACAGGCCUCACAACCACAGACCAUGUGUAAACCACGCCAGGCCAGUUCCUCCACAUCCGGCUUCUUCACCUGCUGGAUCGUCCGAGGGAGUGGGAGAGGACCUGAGCCCUAUGCCUCAGGACUACCUGGCCUGAUGACUCCUUGCUGUCCCCAGUCCAUCUGGCCGUGCUGCUGCUCCAGUUUCAACUGUUCUGCUAUGGAAGCCUGACCUGUUCACCGGACGUGCUACCUAUCCCAGACCUGCUGUUUCCAACUCUCUAGAGACAGCAGGAGUUGUAGAGAUACUCUGAAAGAUCGGCUAUGACAAGCCAACCGACAUUUACUCCUGAGGUGCUGACCUGUUGCACCCUCGACAACUACUGUGAUUAUUAUUAUUUGACCCUGCUGGUCAUCUAUGAACAUUUGAACAUCUUGGCCAUGUUCUGUUAUAAUCUCCACCCGGCACAGCCAGAAGAGGACUGGCCACCCCUCAUAGCCUUGUUCCUCUCUAGGUUUCUUCCUAGGUUCUGGCCUUUCUAGGGAGUUUUUCCUAGCCACCGUGCUAUUACACCUGCAUUGCUUUCUGUUUCUGGUUCUAGGCUGGGUUUCUGUACAGCACUUUGUGACAUCAGCUGAUGUAAGAAGGGCUUUAUAAAUACAUUUGAUUUGAUAUUGUGAUAUGGAUGCCCAUACUGCCCAGGCCCUAGACCUAAUACAUGUAACACCGUCAGUGCCAAUGUUUAGGGUAAUACCUGUAAGCCUGCCAACGCCUGAUAUCUGACAUCAGUAGGAUGUGUGCCAUCCUUAAUGUUUUUCCCACAAGAUUCCUAAGUAAAUGCAAAAAGAGGGGGGUAUUUGGAAAACAGAAAAAGAAGGGAUAGCUCUAUUCACUUAUUUGUUUAUAUCUCUCACAAGUGUGUUAGCAUUUGCAAUGACCAAUAGAAAUUCUAUUGACCUAUUUGUCACAGCAGCUCUUCGCCUGGACAAAAGAAGAGAGGUUGUUUAUUCUUAUUGAAAUGUGAAGAGGUGAGGGUGGUGGUGGUGGGGGGAUGAGUGCUGCUAUGCUGCUGAGUCUGAAUUACAAUAGCCCCCUACUCUCAGGAAUGUGCCCAAAGGUUCUUACAGUGUAAAGUCAUUUUAUAUAUAUAUAUGUUUUUUUUAAUUUUUUUUUAUUGGCCCAUUCACCUCUUUGGAGGACAAUAAAUAACUUUGUUUUUAUAGCUUUUCAGUUUUUGUUACAUUUACAUUCUACACAUAUUUUACAUACAUGCCACUUUUUUUACACAGUAGUUGACAAAAUAUAGUUAUUUGAUAUACAGUGCUCUCCGUAAUGAUUGGGACAGGGAAGCCUAUGUGUAUUAAAGUAAUCAAAUGUUAAGUAUUUGGUCCCAUAUUCAUAGCAUACAAUGACUACAUCAAGCUUGUGACUCUACAAAUGUGUUGGAUGCUUUUGCAGUUAGUUUUGGUUGUGUUUCGGAUG